UCAUGCAAAACGUUUCUGGUUCAUCCAGGGGCUGAGCAAAGGGAGCAGCCAGAGCCCUGAGCGAAGAGCAGGAAAGCUCGAGCGGGAUAAGGUGUGCAACACUGACACCUGCUGUCUCUCUGGCAGCAUUAUACUGGCAAUCUCCAGGCCUGAACUGGCGACAGGGCUGCCAGGACACUGGCUUUUGCCGUAAGGUUACCAAAUCUGUUCUUGCCCAGGGUCGGGAGAGGUGGUGUUUGCAGUGAUUUGGGGCAGGGCACGAUAAGGUAAGUGAUACAAAGCCUUCCAGCAAUAGGGCUGUAAUUCUCAUUUUAAGUGAAAGUCUUUUAUACAGAAUGGUGGUUUGUGUUUUUCAGCUAUGAAGGCUUGUUACUAAAUAAAUAAAUGUCUCUGUAGCCAUGCUUCAUACUUCUGUCCAACAGCUUGAACAGACCAGGAUGACUAAAUUCCCUUUUUGUUUCCUAGAAGAUUUAUAUUAACCUACUCACAAUCACAGUAUACAUGCACACAAAGAAAUCUGCAUGCAUUUGCCAAUGUAAGUACAAGAGUAAGCAUGCACAUAAAAACGUGUGAAUGGCUACCAUCUACAUGCACAUACUCAUAGGUGCCAGGCAAAGUUAUUAAUCCAGCUAUAUGGAAAAAGUAUCUGAUACAAACUCAGUAAAUCUCAGUGCUAAGUCUGAAUUUAGAAUCGGUGCUCUGGGUUUAGUCAAAUCUCUUUCAGUUUGAACAUCUAAUAAAAAAUAUCUCCUAGAGGAAAGUGAGAAAGAGAUUGGAUAAAUUAUAAUGUGUGACAGGAAAGUAGGAGGAUCCCACCUUGUCAUCUCUUGUCUCCACAGUUACAGCUGCUUGUCUCCAAUGAUGUGACAAAUCUACCAAUGCUUCUCCCUAGCCACAUACAGUGCACAGUGCCUGCCCCAAAGAACUUGUAAUGCAACCCAGACACACACAUCUGGACAAGUACCAAAAAGGAGUCAUAUGCCCUUAAACAAAAUGAGAGACAUACAGAAGUUACAUGAUAGAGCUUUGUAUGGGAACACAGACAAUAUGCAUGUCUGUAUGCAGCUUGGAGAACAGUAUGAAUGUAAUUUUCUCUGUAUGUCAAAAGGAAAUGCUCAAGAAUUCAACAACUGGCCAAGCUUUGCGUUGGGAAAUGGUUUCUUGAGGGGAAACAAAUAAUAAGCAUUGACCGUGGCUGGGAAGCAGAGUAGAUAACAUGAUAAGAAGAAAGAUGAGUAGAAGGGAGUGACUAAGGAGUGACUCUGUCUCACCAGCAGAACCUGUAAGAAGAUUAGAAAG
ensembl:lncRNA